GACGAACCGUGCGAACGUUAUUCGGAAUCAUUGGGCUUAAAGGGCGCGUAGGCGGGUUGGCGCGUCGGCAGCUGAAAUCCCCCGGCUCAACCGGGGAACGGGCGCCGAUACGGCCGGUCCUGGAGGCGAGGAGGGGGACCCGGAACGUCCGGUGGAGCGGUGAAAUGCGUUGAGAUCGGACGGAACACCGACGGCGAAAGCAGGGUCCUGGACUCGUACUGACGCUGAGGCGCGAAGGCCAGGGGAGCGAACGGG
rnacentral:rRNA from 1 species